rnacentral:lncRNA from 1 species
GACGAAAUUAAAAGUGGAUGGAUUGAUUGAAUCGUGGAUAACAAUAACGGACUAUAUCUUGAGAGAUGAUCAUUCACCCCCCUCUUAAAUCUCAGUGUUUUCUACUGUAAUUGAUCCUUAUUUCAAUUCUCACGGGUUUUUCUUGCUUACUUCAGUUCAAGUGACUUGAAAUCUAGUUUUUUAGAUCAUGAUGCCAGAAGACGUCAACAGCCCCGUUGAAAUUAACAGG